rnacentral:rRNA from 1 species
UACGAAGGGGGCUAGCGUUGUUCGGAUUUACUGGGCGUAAAGCGCACGUAGGCGGUUCGUUAAGUCGGGGGUGAAAUCCUGGAGCUCAACUCCAGAACUGCCUUCGAUACUGGCGAUCUAGAGUCCGGAAGAGGUGAGUGGAACUCCUAGUGUAGAGGUGGAAUUCGUAGAUAUUAGGAAGAACACCAGUGGCGAAGGCGGCUCACUGGUCCGGUACUGACGCUGAGGUGCGAAAGCGUGGGGAGCAAACAGG